rnacentral:rRNA from 1 species
GACGAACGCUGGCGGCGUGCUUAACACAUGCAAGUCGAACGGAAAGGCCCUGCUUUUGUGGGGUGCUCGAGUGGCGAACGGGUGAGUAACACGUGAGUAACCUGCCCUUGACUUUGGGAUAACUUCAGGAAACUGGGGCUAAUACCGGAUAGGAGCUCCUGCUGCAUGGUGGGGGUUGGAAAGUUUCGGCGGUUGGGGAUGGACUCGCGGCUUAUCAGCUUGUUGGUGGGGUAGUGGCUUACCAAGGCUUUGUCGGGUAGCCGGCCUGAGAGGGUGACCGGCCACGUUGGGACUGAGAGACGGCCCAGACUCCUACGGGAGGCAGCAGUCGGGAAUAUUGCACAAUGGGCGGAAGCCUGAUGCAGCAACGCCGCGUGCGGGAUGACGGCCUUCGGGUUGUAAACCGCUUUCGCCUGUGACGAAGCGUGAGUGACGGUAAUGGGUAAGGAAGCACCGGCUAACUACGUG